rnacentral:rRNA from 1 species
GACGAACGCUGGCGGCGUGCUUAACACAUGCAAGUCGAACGGAAAGGCCCUGCUUUUGUGGGGUGCUCGAGUGGCGAACGGGUGAGUAACACGUGAGUAACCUGCCCGUGACUUUGGGAUAACUUCAGGAAACUGGGGCUAAUACCGGAUAGGAGCUCCUGCUGCAUGGUGGGGGUUGGAAAGUUUCGGCGGUUGGGGAUGGACUCGCGCCUUAUCAGCUUGUUGGUGGGGUAGUGGCUUACCAAGGCUUUGACGGGUAGCCGGCCUGAGAGGGUGACCGGCCACAUUGGGACUGAGAUACGGCCCAGACUCCUACGGGAGGCAGCAGUGGGGAAUAUUGCACAAUGGGCGGAAGCCUGAUGCAGCAACGCCGCGUGCGGGAUGACGGCCUUCGGGUUGUAAACCGCUUUCGCCUGUGACGAAGCGUGAGUGACGGUAAUGGGUAAAGAAGCACCGGCUAACUACGUG